CCUACGGGAGGCAGCAGUGAGGAAUAUUGGUCAAUGGGCGCGAGCCUGAACCAGCCAAGUCGCGUGAGGGAUGACGGCCCUACGGGUUGUAAACCUCUUUUGCCGGGGAGCAACGGGCGCCACGUGUGGCGCCACUGAGAGUACCCGGAAAAAAAGCAUCGGCGAACUCCGUGCAAGCAGCCGCGGUAAUACGGAGGAUGCGAGCGUUAUCCGGAUUGAUUGGGUUUAAAGUGUGCGUAGGCGGAUCGUUAAGUCAGUGGUCAAAUUGAGGGGCUCAACCCCUUCCCGCCAUUGAAACUGGCGCUCUUGAGUGGAAGAGAAGUAUGCGGAAUGCGUGGUGUAGCGGUGAAAUGCAUAGAUAGCACGCAGAACCCCGAUUGCGAAGGCAGCAUGCCGGCUUCCGACUGACGCUGAAGCACGAAAGCGUGGGGAUCGAACAGGAUUAGAUACCCUUGUAGUC
rnacentral:rRNA from 1 species